UACCAGCACCCCGAGUGGUCGGGACGUUUAUUGGGCCUAAAGCAUCCGUAGCCGGUUCUACAAGUCUUCCGUUAAAUCCACCUGCUCAACAGAUGGGCUGCGGAAGAUACUAUGGAGCUAGGAGGCGGGAGAGGCAAGCGGUACUCGAUGGGUAGGGGUAAAAUCCGUUGAUCCAUUGAAGACCACCAGUGGCGAAGGCGGCUUGCCAGAAUGCGCUCGACGGUGAGGGAUGAAAGCCGGGGGAGCAAACCGG
rnacentral:rRNA from 1 species